UGCGCCCUAAUCUGUCACAUUCAUGUUUGCAAGAAGAUUGAACAUUCUCCAUACUUGCAAGCCACGGGGUUCUGCGACGGAAGCCACCGUGUGCUUGCUCACAGGCCACCGCAGGCUACCGCGGGCCACCGCGCGUCGCCGUCAAAGGCCUUUUAUUUCACCAUUUCUAAGCCUUUGGGUCACCGUUCGCCGGUCACGGCUUCCACGCUACUAGGCCUUUGUUUUAACUAAGGUGCUCCUAUACAGUCUAGUUACAUAUCACUUGCUGAAUCUACUAUAAACGUUGAUAUUGGUCUCUCGGUCAAACUAUAAGGUGAAAAUCAUGGAUGAGAAAUUUAUAUUCUCCACGUGGCCUAAAUUGUUCAUAGCACAAAAAAUAUAUACCUUUUUUAAAUAUUUAGUUUUAUGUUAUUUGGAAUUUAUUAUGUGAAUUGGUUUUGUUGUGCUACCCAGUGAAAUAUUGUGUUACAAUCAGGUGAUGUUAGGAAUCUUUCUUACCUCAAUAAUCUAUCAUUAGGAAAAUGUCGUUAUUGCUUGAAUUUCAUUAUGUGUUGUUCAAUAAAGUCAAAUGGAAAUUCAAUGUUUUCCAAAUGUUUCCUUCUGUGUUGACUUUUCACUGUUGUAUCUUUGAUUGUGUUACAUUAACAGCUAAAUAUGCUUUGUUUUUUAACAUGCAACCUCUUCUAGAAAGCAUCAAGGAAAGCAACUAUUGAAUUAUUUGAGUGAGAAUAUUGUUUCUAACUCCAUAUCUGCCAAAUCCUCCAUGACUGUGUCUGAAAGAAUAUAGUUUCAGGCCCCCACGCUCUUCUCAAAACCGUGUCUGAACCAAUUCUGGGAAGGUUUUGAAGAUAGUCACAGCACUUGAAGAUCUCAUGGUUGAAAUUCCCAUGUUAACAUUUAUUGUGUUGUUGAUGAUACCAUGCUAAACUCAUUCACUAUCAAGGUACAUUUCUAAUUAGAAUGUAUAAAUUAGUGCCUAAUUAUCUUUUUUUAUUUCUUGGAGUGUAUAAAUGUGUUAAGGACAUAAAGCAACGGUUAUGACAUGUAUAAUGGUAAGAGCAAAUAAUAGUAUAUAUAUAAAACGUUGUUGUUCUUUCAGUGGCAGCUGGAUCAAAAGGUUGGUAA